GUUCGAGUCCAACCUUACCCACUUCUUGGUGAAUUUUGAAGGUCUAGAGUCUAAAAAGUACAGUGAUAUAUGAAAAAAAACAUAAUUGUCUUGUGUGUCCACAUGGCUCACGGGAUAAGGAGACUGACUGGUACUCCUGAGGUGGAGUGUUCGAACCUUUUUUGGGACAAGGUGAAUUUUGAAGUCUAGUGUCUAGACAGGAAAGUGAAAGAGGAAACAAGUGGUAUAAUCCUGUGUCUCCAAGUGGCUCAGGGGAUAAGAAGACUGACUGGGACUCCUAAGGUCAUAGGUUCAAGUCCUACCUUGCCCACUUCUAUUUUGAAGGUCUAGAGUCUACAAAGUACAGUGAUAUAUGAAAAAAAAACACAUUUCUCUUGUGUGUCCACAUGAGUCACGGGAUAAGGAGACUGACUGGUACUCCUGAGGUGGUGUGUUCCAGCCUUUUUUGGGACAAGGUGAAUUUUGAAGUCUAGUGUCAAGACAGUAAAGUGAAAGAGGAAACAAGUGGUAUACUCCUGUGUCUCCAAGUGGCUCAGGGGAUAAGAACACUGACUGGAACUCCUGAGGUCACAGGUUCGAGUCCAACCUUGCCCACUUCUUGGUGAAUUUUGAAGGUCUAGAGUCUAUAAAGUACAGUGAUAUAUGAAAAAAAACACAUUUCUCUUGUGUGUCCACAUGGCUCACGGGAUAAGGAGACUGACUGGUACUCCUGAGGUGGUGUGUUCGAGCCUUUUUUGGGACAAGGUGAAUUUUGAAGUCUAGUGUCUAGACAUGAAAUUGAAAGAGGAAACAAAUGGUAUAAUCAUGUGUGUCCAAGUGGCUCAGGGGAUGAGAACACUGACUGGAACUCGUGAGGUCACAGGUUCGAGUCCAACCUUGCCCACUUCUUGGUGAAUUUUGAAGGUCUAGAGACUAAAAAGUACAGCGAUAUGUGAAAAAAAAAACACAUUUCUCUUGUGUGUCCACAUGGCUCACGGGAUAAGGAGACUGACUGGUACUCCUGAGGUGGAGUGUUCCAACCUUUUUUGGGACAAGGUGAAUUUUGAAGUCUAGUGUCUAGACAAGAAAGUGAAAGAGGAAACAAGUGGUAUAAUCCUGUAUGUCCAAGUGGCUCAGAUGAUAAGUACACUGACUGGAACUCUUGAGGUCAUAGGUUCGAGUCCUACGUUACCUAGUUUUUGGUGAAUUUUAAAGUCUUGAGUCCACAAAGGACAGCGAUAUGUGAAAAAAAACCUGAUUGUCUUGUGUGCCAACAUGGCUCACGGGAUAAGGAGACUGGCUGGUACUCCUGAGGUGGUGUGUUCGAGCCUUUUUUGGGACAAGGUGAAUUUUGAAGUCUAGUGUCUAGACAGUAAAGUGAAAGAGGAAACAAAUGGUAUAAUCCUGUGUGUCCAAGUGGCUCAGGG